rnacentral:rRNA from 1 species
UACGUAGGGGGCAAGCGUUGUCCGGAAUUAUUGGGCGUAAAGCGCGCGCAGGCGGUCUUUUAAGUCUGGUGUUUAAGUGCGGGGCUCAACCCCGUGACGCACUGGAAACUGGGAGACUUGAGUGCAGAAGAGGAGAGCGGAAUUCCACGUGUAGCGGUGAAAUGCGUAGAGAUGUGGAGGAACACCAGUGGCGAAGGCGGCUCUCUGGACUGUAACUGACGCUGAGGCGC